GCUAUGAUGAAUUUGAUUACAUUGAUCCAAAAUGAUAAUGUAUUUUGUCCUCUAAGAAGUUCUGAGCUU